GGAAAGUAGUUUUGUAAAACUUUGUUAAAGUACCAGUAAUUAAUUAUGGACGGAGAAUUUAAUUUAUGUGGGAGUUUGGUGUGAACAUCCAGUGUUGGUGGGGAGUAUUGUGUAUUGUUGUGCAAUCAAGUUCUCCAUCGGUAAAUGUACGGUGAGGUUGAAUUUCAAAAACAAAGUAUUAUCCACUCACUUCUCAAUCACGUGGCACUCACCAACGACUUCCUUUUCCACUUUGCCAAUGUCUAGUUAGUCUACCAUGCCACUAUUCACGUUCACAUUCACUUCCCUAUUUUCAAUUUCUUUCUCCGUCCACCGUCCAUCUCAUCAUGAUCUGCUCCACUAAAUCCGGUUCGAACUGGCUCGACCGUCUCCGGUUCAAUAAAGGCAUCCCAACCGACGAUGACCUUGACCUCGAUUCCUUUCUCCUCAGAAUCGCCGCCCAUUCUCAUUCUCCACACACCCGCCCCAUCCACCCAACAAAUAACCCGGUCCGAAAAUGUCCAACCGUAACCCAUGACCCACCAUUAAGCGCUCUCCUCGCCGAACUCUUCAAUCCUGGCACCAACCUCACCCUAAUUUCCAAGAAAUGUCCCCGGAAGCAAACAAACCCUAAAAUCUUUCUCGCAUCUUCGGCAACCACUAGUAGUCAUGCUCCCGCCGGCGGAGACGCCGAUGCGGCGGUGGUGGUUGAAGAUCGGGGCGAGGAAGGGGACGAAGGUGAUGAAGAUUUGAAGGGUUUCACUAGAAGUGAGGUUACAGUGAUUGAUACGAGUUGUCCAGCGUGGAAGGUUGAUAAAUUCCUGUUCAGAAAAAACAGCGUUUGGAAAAUUAGAGAGAGAAAACCGAAGAACAAGUUUUUCGCGAAGAAGAAGAGCAAAACGAGUCAUGAAAUCGACAUCCAUGGAAUUGGAACCACAAAGGAUAAUGUAGUCAAUAUAGGAGGAGAGAAGCCUGUAAAGAAACUGAAGGUUAUCUAAUGCCUCAUCCCAAAAAGAGGCAAGUGCAUUUAACUUCGAGCUGCUUGUGGCAACUGACUCUCCAUUUGAUGCUUUAAUCAGGCUGUAUUGGUUGAGAAUAUUUGAUGCGGGUUACAAAUCAAGAAAGGAAAACACAUCUGUCAUUUUAAUAAAAGCAGUUGCAUACUAAAUGAGCAUAUGAACAAGAACAAAGUGUAACAAAAGCAAAGAGAACCAGACAAUAAUUCAAGUCUUUACAGGUCAUUUUAGUUGAAAUUUUAAGUUGGCUGCAGUAAGCAAUGAUGCAGGCUUCGCACUGGUACUAUUUGAUGGUGGCCCUACCUGUCUUCCAUUGAGCACCAAUCAUACAAAAAACUAGAGUUCUAAACAUGCAAUUGUAGUGUCAAAAAACAUACCUCUGUAAAUGUCUCUUCCAUUUUCCAUAAUUUGAAACUUUCUUUCUCUAAUA